UGGGGAAUAUUGCGCAAUGGGCGAAAGCCUGACGCAGCGACGCCGCGUGAGGGAAGAAGGUCUUCGGAUCGUAAACCUCUGUCAGAAGGGAAGAAGUGAUGUACGGUGAAUAUCCGUGCAUUUUGACGGUACCUUCAGAGGAAGCACCGGCUAACUCCGUGCCAGCAGCCGCGGUAAUACGGAGGGUGCAAGCGUUAAUCGGAAUCACUGGGCGUAAAGCGCGCGUAGGCGGCCUGGCAAGUCAAAUGUGAAAGCCCUCGGCUCAACCGGGGAACUGCAUUCGAAACUGUCAGGCUUGAGUCUCGGAGAGGGUGGCGGAAUUCCCGGUGUAGGAGUGAAAUCCGUAGAUAUCGGGAGGAACACCAGUGGCGAAGGCGGCCACCUGGACGAGAACUGACGCUGAGGUGCGAAAGCGUGGGUAGCAAACA
rnacentral:rRNA from 1 species